rnacentral:rRNA from 1 species
GACGAACCGUGCGAACGUUUAUUCGGAAUCACUGGGCUUAAAGCGCGUGUAGGCGGGAGGGCACGUCCGUCGCUGAAAUCCCCCGGCUCAACCGGGGAACGGGCACGGAUACGACCUUCCUGGAGGGGCGUAGGGGGACCUGGAACUUCCGGUGGAGCGGUGAAAUGCGUAGAUAUCGGGAGGAACACCAGUGGCGAAGGCGGGCAUCUGGGCCAACACUGACGCUGAGGCGCGAAAGCUAGGGGAGCAAACAGGG